ensembl:lncRNA
AUGGAGAGCAGCAAGGUCAUCUCAACUGACAAAGCUACAGUUAUCAUCCAAGUAAAUUCACAGGUGGCAAAAGAUACUCUUAUUUGUGAUGGACAGCAGGCCAGAGUAGCAUAUCACAAUACUGCACUUAAAGGAUUUCUCAAAGCACAACCAAAAGCAUUGGGGGCUGUCCAGAUAAUGACUGGAGUGACGGUUUUCUUAUUUGGUAUCAUACGCACCACUGAUGUCUACAAUUUCCCUGCUGUUGCUUUGUUUAGUGGCAUCACCUACUGGGGAUCCCUCGUUGUAAGUUUUGUGUAAUGGUUCUCUUUUAUCUUGUGUUCGAGAGCCACCUAUGCGAAGGGCAUCCAUGCCUUGCUUCUGCAGAAGCAUCCAAUUGUACCAAGUCUGGCUUGACAGACAGGAACGCAUGCACAAUGGCAGGUAAGGGACCACCCUUUAACCAAGCGCAUAAAGGCCUUGCACACAUUACUCCUCCUCAACUGACAUUUGCUUCUCGCAAUCUCUGCACGUUCACAGCUCAGCUAGAUUAAUGCUGCACACUUUGUGUGUCUUCAGGGGGACAUAUCACCAGAUCAUCCUCCACUAGACAUGACAGUGUUUUUAUUCAGCCUAGAUUAGUUGUCUCGCAACCUGAGCCGCCCACACUCUCUCUUGUCUUCAGGCUGCCCACCUUCUUUCAUUAUCUCACCUGAUCCCCUUAACCACGGCUGCCCGCCAUGGUUUAAUCAGUGGUUUGCCAGUAUAUCACUCUCAAAAACUGCAGCUUCUCCUGGGGACAGCUUAUCACGGGCCUGUCCAGCUGUGUGUGGUGUGCUGAUUGCCAGUAAGGACACUCACCCAUUCUGCGUGGUCUGCUUGGGCCUCAAGCAUGCAGAGGAGGCUUUGGAGAACCCUGAGAAUUGUAGCCAUUGCCUUAUGUUGCCUAAGAAGCUCUGAUGAUGUCUUCUUAAAUGUCUUCCUAAUGCCCCCAUGGCCUUUCCCCAGUCCAUCCUUCUGGAUGUGUAUGAACCAGCAGCUGCUCGCCUCAAUGUUGAGUGGCCGGCUCCACAGAGUGCCACCGACCAGGUGAGGAAACAACUCUUCCCUGUCCUUUCAGCGCGAACUAAGCACAUGAAACAUUACUGGGGAGACCCCUUUAACCUCAAACACAGUCUCGCAGGCCUCGAGGUAAAGGAUAUGGCAGCUCUCAGCAUGGUUGAUCCCUGCUAAGGUGUGUGCUACUUUAAGCCCAAGGACUAUUUAUCUGUAUGCAGAGGCGGGCCUGGUCCUGCUGAGAAUAGCGUGUCUCAGGAUCCUGACAUUUUAUACAAUUGGCUAAUUAUAGCCAAUGCAAAAGAGAAAGUGUGGCUUUAGAGAAAAUGUAAGCAAGAGCAAUUUCUCUCCUACCCAGAAUGUGAUAUUCUGGAGCUGAAUUUCAUUAGCAUGCAUGUGCACCUGUCGCAAGAGUGCAUUCACUCUCUCAGGGAGUGAGGGUACAGAAUCUCAGACUACAGGGUCUUAUGGCUUUUGGCUGUGCAUGUCCUGCCUCUGGGCCUUCUGAGAAUGAGGGUGUUCAUGAAGUGGGUUUAUCUCUUCACCUCAGCCCAUUACGCAUUCUCUGCUGCUCUGUUACAGUUGUGAAAGUCGUGACAUUUGCCAAGUAUGGUAACCCAUACUCGGAAUUGGUGCUCUGCAUUUAACCCAUCCAAGUGCACACACACAGCAGUGAGAAAUGAACAAGUCCAACUCUCUAACCAUUAGGCCACAGCUGCCCCAUUACAUGCUAAUGCACAGCAGUACUGCACCACUGGAGAAAUGCAGAGUUUUACACUCAGGGGACCCCUUCAGGGCCAUCAAUUUGUGGAAGGUGGUAAUGACAGAUGUGUCCUUAACAGGAUGGGUAGCUACCCAGCAGGGCAGAACAGUGAAGGGUGUGUGAACCACAUGAACACUCCACUAAGCCAACAUAAAUUAUUUGGAGCUCCUCACUGUUUGGAAGGCUCUAAAACAUUUUCUGGCCCACCUGCAACACCAUAGUCGUGGCACAUAUCAAUUGCCAAGGUGGGGAUGCACUCCUCCAAACUUCAAGCUCUAGCUCACAAGCUGUUAGCAUUCUAACAGCACUUUCUGUCAUUAUGGGCGAUCCAUGUCCUGGGCGUUCUGAACAGGGGCGCAGACCUUUUUUCGAGGGAGAACCCACUCUACAAAUAGUGGUGCCUCCACCUUCAGAUAGUGGGGCUGCUAUGGAAGAGAUACAGACAGGUGGCUAUCAAUCUCUUCGCUAUGUGCAAAAACACCCAUUGUCUUAUGUCCUUUGUAACACACUGGGGCUUCCCCCGAAGGGUUCAGAAUGAUAGAGCCUCUUCUACAAGCUUUCUUUAUGAUUGCAAGUGCCGUGUGUUUGAGGAGUGGUGCGAGGGUCGCCAGCUGAUAUCAAAUCAGUGUUCAGUAGCAGUCUAAGGUAUACUUAGCAGCUAUCGCUGCAUGUGCUGGGUGCCUUGUCUCAACAGCCUUUUGAGCCCCUGGGAGAUAAACAUGUCAGUGAUUUGCAUGCACUCUCUGUUCAUCCCUUGUGCACUAAAUUUUCUCUCUGUGGAGAUAAGGUCUUUCUAAGGCCUAACCCGGCCUUUAUGCCAAAAUGCUUCCCAGCUUUCACUUGUGAGGUGCUUGAGCUUUCUGCUUUUCACCCUCCUCCAUUCUCCUCUGCGGAGGAUCAGAGGCUAAAGGCUUUAUGUCCUGUUCAUGCCCUGCAGGUUUACAUCGACAGGACCAGUCCUUUCCGGAGUAGUGAUGAAUCUCUUAAUUUCUAC